GGGUUGCUAACUCAACGGUAGAGUACUCGGCUUUUAACCGAAUCGUUCCGGGUUCGAAUCCCGGGCAGCCCAC
rnacentral:tRNA from 1 species